rnacentral:rRNA from 1 species
AUUGAACGCUGGCGGCAUGCUUUACACAUGCAAGUCGAACGGUAACAGGCCGCAAGGUGCUGACGAGUGGCGCACGGGUGUGUAAUGCAUCGGAACGUGCCCCGUCGUGGGGGAUAACUACUCGAAAGAGUAGCUAAUAUCGCAUACGAUCUAUGGAUGAAAGCGGGGGACCGUAAGGCCUCGCGCGAUUGGAGCGGCCGAUGUCAGAUUAGGUAGUUGGUGGGGUAAAGGCUCACCAAGCCAACGAUCUGUAGCUGGUCUGAGAGGACGACCAGCCACACUGGGACUGAGACACGGCCCAGACUCCUACGGGAGGCAGCAGUGGGGAAUUUUGGACAAUGGGCGCAAGCCUGAUCCAGCAAUGCCGCGUGCAGGAAGAAGGCCUUCGGGUUGUAAACUGCUUUUGUACGGAACGAAACGGCUCUGGUUAAUACCCGGGGCUAAUGACGGUACCGUAAGAAUAAGCACCGGCUAACUACGUG